rnacentral:rRNA from 1 species
AGUGAACGCUGGCGGUAGGCCUAACACAUGCAAGUCGAACGGCAGCACAGUAAGAGCUUGCUCUUACGGGUGGCGAGUGGCGGACGGGUGAGGAAUACAUCGGAAUCUACUUUUUCGUGGGGGAUAACGUAGGGAAACUUACGCUAAUACCGCAUACGACCUACGGGUGAAAGCAGGGGAUCUUCGGACCUUGCGCGAGUGAAUGAGCCGAUGUCGGAUUAGCUAGUUGGCGGGGUAAUGGCCCACCAAGGCGACGAUCCGUAGCUGGUCUGAGAGGAUGAUCAGCCACACUGGAACUGAGACACGGUCCAGACUCCUACGGGAGGCAGCAGUGGGGAAUAUUGGACAAUGGGCGCAAGCCUGAUCCAGCCAUACCGCGUGGGUGAAGAAGGCCUUCGGGUUGUAAAGCCCUUUUGUUGGGAAAGAAAAGCAGCAGGUUAAUACCCCGCUGUUCUGACGGUACCCAAAGAAUAAGCACCGGCUAACUUCGUG